AUUGAACGCUGGCGGCAGGCUUAACACAUGCAAGUCGAGCGGAGCGGCGGACGGGUACGUAAUGCCUAGGAAUCUGAAUGGUAGUGGGGGAUAACGUCCGGAAACGGGAGCUAAUACUGCAUACUAUCAGAUGAGCCUAGGUGGGAUUCGCUAGUGGGUGGGGUAAAGGUCUACCAAGGCGACGAUCCGUAACUGGUCUGAGAGGAUGAUCAGUCACACUGGAACUGAGACACGGUCCAGACUCCUACGGGAGGCAGCAGUGGGGAAUAUUGGACAAUGGGCGAAAGCCUGAUCCAGCCAUGCCGCGUGUGUGAAGAAGGUCUUCGGAUUGUAAAGCACUUUAAGUUGGGAGGCGUUACCAACAGAAUAAGCACCGGCUAACUCCGUGCCAGCCGCCGCGGUAAUAC
rnacentral:rRNA from 1 species